rnacentral:rRNA from 1 species
AAUCUUCCGCAAUGGACGAAAGUCUGACGGAGCGACGCCGCGUGAGUGAUGAAGGUCCCCGGAUCGUAAAACUCUGUUGUUAUGGAAGAACAAGUAUCGGAGCAAUAUGCCGGUACCUUGACGGUACCUAACGAGAAAGCGCCGGCUAACUACGUGCCAGCAGCCGCGGUAAUACGUAGGGGGCAAGCGUUGUCCGGAAUGAUUGGGCGUAAAGCGCGCGCAGGCGGUUUCUUAAGUCUGAUGUGAAAGCCCACGGCUCAACCGUGGAGGGUCAUUGGAAACUGGAAGCUUGAGUGCAGAAGAGGAGAGUGGAAUUCCAUGUGUAGCGGUGAAAUGCGUAGAGAUAUGGAGGAACACCAGUGGCGAAGGCGACUCUCUGGUCUGCAACUGACGCUGAGGCGCGAAAGCGUGGGGAGCGAAC